CCUACGGGUGGCAGCAGUGAGGAAUAUUGGUCAAUGGCCGGAAGGCUGAACCAGCCAAGCCGCGUGAAGGACGAAGGUGCCAAGCAUUGUAAACUUCUUUUGUCAAGGGACAAAAUCCGGCUCGAGAGCCUGACCGAGGGUACUUGAAGAAAAAGCAUCGGCUAACUCCGUGCCAGCAGCCGCGGUAAUACGGAGGAUGCGAGCGUUAUCCGGAUUUAUUGGGUUUAAAGGGUGCGUAGGCGGGUUAUCAAGUCAGCGGUAAAAUCGUGGAGCUCAACUCCAUCCAGCCGUUGAAACUGAUGAUCGUGAGUGGGCGAGAAGUAUGCGGAAUGCGUGGUGUAGCGGUGAAAUGCAUAGAUAUCACGCAGAACUCCGAUUGCGAAGGCAGCAUACCGGCGCCCGACUGACGCUGAAGCACGAAAGCGUGGGUAUCGAACAGGAUUAGAUACCCGUGUAGUC
rnacentral:rRNA from 1 species